UGACCUCGGAUCAGGGGUGGGUACCCGCUGAACUUAAGCAUAUCAAUAAGCGGAGGAGAAGAAACCAACCAGGAUUCCCUCAGUAACGGCGAGUGAAGAGGGAGAAGCCCAGUGCCGAAGCCUGCGGCAGGUUUGUCGGUAGGCCAUGUGGUGUGCGGGUUGGCUGGCGGGACCGCCGCUCCACUCCAAGUCCAGCAUUGAGUAUGGUUGUGAGUGAAUGUGGCCCAUAGAGGGUGAUAGGCCCGUAGGAGUGGGGGCUCAGGCAGGUGAGGCGGUUCACCAGGCCGGCUCAGGAGUCGGGUUGUUUGAGAUUGCAGCCCAAAGUGGGUGGUAAACUCCAUCCAAGGCUAAAUACAGGCACGAGUCCGAUAGCGGACAAGUACCGUGAGGGAAAGUUGAAAAGUACUCUGAAGAGAGAGUAAAGAGUGCGUGAAACCGCGUGCAGGUAAGCGGGUGGCGUCAAGCUGCUAGCCGGGAGGACUCAGCUGGCUGCAGUGUAGUGUGCGCGCCUAGUGCGUCACCGUUAAUGGGCCGGGGAGAGGCGGUGGUCUGCUCCUUGUGGGGGAGCGGAGCAUGACUGCGAUCGCGGGCCACUGUUUCGCCUUCACCACGCCGCCGCCUAUUCUAUCUGUCUGUCUGCCCAUCUAUCUAUCUGUCCGCCUGUGUGCGCCCAUCUCUGCUGAGGUGGGUGGGCUGGUGGGUGGGUGGGUGCGUGCGUGAAUAUGCGGAGGGCGGGGUGGUGUGAGUGGUCGGUGGAUGCGAGGUUGUGGUCUGUGCUAUGCGUGUCGGACGGGCGCCGGAGCAUGCCACUCGCCCGUGGGCCUUGCAGUCAGUGCACUUUCUCCGUGGCGAACACCACGACCGGUGGGGUUGCCAGUCUGCCGUGGUCGAGUCGUGCCCACCUGGUAGUCCUUCUCCUCCUCCUGCUCCUGCUCCCCGUCGCUCGAUUGGUCGGUGAGUUGGCUUCACCGCUGACUGGCUGGCUGGCCGGCCGGCCGGCUGACGGACAGGUGGGUGGGGUGGAUGGGUCAGGUGGGCAGGAUCGCGGAUAGGUGAGCGGACGGCGCGGUGGUGCUGCGGUGUUGCCGCGUGCUAUCGUGCGCUUCCUGUCAACGAGCUGCUGUUGUCUGCUGUGCUGUGACCGCACUGUUGGUGGCUUGGCGGGCUGCGGUGGUGUAGGUGACUGUGCAGGGCAUCGGUUUUAUCCGCCUCAUUCGCUCGCUCGAAUGCACGAGCGGUAAGGGUACCCGGCACGCACGUCACAGGUGCAGUGGAGCGGGGCGCGCGGCUGUUGGUCGGCGUGGGGCGUGGCUGCCGUGUUGCCUGCAGAAUGCGGGCUCGCCGGUGGUCCGUCGUCGCGUGUCACGGUGGGCGGCUUCGCGUUGCCUCGAGUGCAUGGGGUACCGGGGGUGGGAUAGUCGGUGGUGCGGUGGUAGACUAGCCACCUGACCCGUCUUGAAACACGGACCAGGGAGUUUAACAUGUGUGCGAGUCAAAGGGUGUGCUCGAGACCCCGAGGCGUAGUGAAAGUGAAGUCUGCGUCGUACGCGCGCGGUGCGAUGCGGCGAGGUGAGAUCCUGCUGUUGGCGUGCGGCCGGCCAGGCCAGGCUGGUGCGGGCGGCCUAUGGAGCAGUGGGCGCAUCACCGGCCCG
rnacentral:ncRNA from 1 species